GGCGACAAGAUUGGUUUAACUGUGAAUGAAGGACUGCAGCUUUUUCUGUGAAUCACCUUUCCACGUUCGUUAACUUAAGAAGUUAACCUGGAACAAGAAUUCUCCAUCAUCUUGUCACCUUGCAGAGCUUUCUGUGAAUGAAGGAAAGCCUGGACUCUAGCGGAUCAGUAAGAUGGCACAGAAAGAGAUAUGCCCCUGGAGUGAUGCCCACUUCCUAGAUCAGAGGUAACAUCAGUGAAAUGAGUCAAGCUCCA